AUUGAACGCUGGCGGCAUGCUUUACACAUGCAAGUCGGACGAGUGGCGAACGGGUGAGUAACAUAUCGGAACGUACCGAGUAAUGGGGGAUAACUACUCGAACGAUUAGCUAAUACCGCAUAUUAUUCGAGCGGCCGAUAUCUGAUUAGCUGGUUGGUGGGGUAAAGGCCUACCAAGGCGACGAUCAGUAGCGGGUCUGAGAGGAUGAUAGGCAACACGGGGAUUGAGACAAGGCCAAGACUCAUACGGGAGGCAGCAGUGGGGAAUUGUGGACAAUGGGCGCAGGGCUGAUACAGCCAUGCCGAGUGGAGGAAGAAGGCCUUCGGGUUGUAAAGGUAUUUUGGGAGGGUAGCGGUACCUGAAGAAUAAGCACCGGCUAACGACGUGCCAGCCGCCGCGGUAAUUC
rnacentral:rRNA from 1 species